rnacentral:rRNA from 1 species
GAGUUUGAUCAUGGCUCAGGAUGAACGCUAGCUACAGGCUUAACACAUGCAAGUCGAGGGGCAGCAUAAUUAUUGCUUGCAAUAAUUGAUGGCGACCGGCGCACGGGUGAGUAUCGCGUAUCCAACUUUCCCAUAACUAGGGGAUAAUCCGUCGAAAGGCGGUCUAAUACUCUAUGUUGUCUAUUUAUGGCCUCAUAUUUAGACGAAAGAUUUAUCGGUUAUGGUUAGGGAUGCGUCCGAUUAGGUAGUAGGCGGGGUAACAGCCCACCUAGCCAACGAUCGGUAGGGGUUCUGCGAGGAAGGUCCCCCACAUUGGAACUGAGACACGGUCCAAACUCCUACGGGAGGCAGCAGUGAGGAAUAUUGGUCAAUGGACGAGAGUCUGAACCAGCCAAGUAGCGUGCAGGAUGACGGCCCUAUGGGUUGUAAACUGCUUUUAUGCGGGAAUAAAGUGAUUUACGUGUAUAUCAUUGCAUGUACCGCAUGAAUAAGGACCGGCUAAUUCCGUGCCAGCAGCCGCGGUAAUACGGAAGGUUCGGGCGUUAUCCGGAUUUAUUGGGUUUAAAGGGAGCGUAGGCUGAAUAUUAAGCGUGUUGUGAAAUGUAGUUGCUCAACAUCUGCACUGCAGCGCGAACUGGUAUUCUUGAGUGUGCGCGACGUAGGCGGAAUUCGUGGUGUAGCGGUGAAAUGCUUAGAUAUCACGAAGAACUCCGAUUGCGAAGGCAGCUUACGAGAGCACAACUGACGCUUAAGCUCGAAGGUGCGGGUAUCGAACAGGAUUAGAUACCCUGGUAGUCCGCACAGUAAACGAUGGAUGCCCGCUAUUGGACUUUUAGUUCAGUGGCUAAGCGAAAGCGUUAAGCAUCCCACCUGGGGGAGUACGCCGGCAACGGUGAAACUCAAAGGAAUUGACGGGGGCCCGCACAAGCGGAGGAACAUGUGGUUUAAUUCGAUGAUACGCGAGGAACCUUACCCGGGCUUGAACUGCCGGUGAACGAUACAGAGAUGUUGAGGCCCUUCGGGGCGCCGGUGGAGGUGCUGCAUGGUUGUCGUCAGCUCGUGCCGUGAGGUGUCGGCUUAAGUGCCAUAACGAGCGCAACCCCAUUUUCUAGUUGCCAUCGGGUAAUGCCGGGCACUCUGGAGAUACUGCCACCGUAAGGUGUGAGGAAGGUUGGGAUGACGUCAAAUCAGCACGGCCCUUACGUCCGGGGCUACACACGUGUUACGAAUGGCGCAUACAGAGUGUCGGUUGUAUGUAAAUGCGAAUCCAAUCUUGAAAGUGCGUCUCAGUUCGGACUGGGGUCUGCAAACCCGACCCCACGAAGCUGGAUUCGCUAGUAAUCGCGCAUACAGCCAUGAGCGCGGUAAAUACGUUCCCGGGCCUUGCACACACCGCCCGUCA